UACGUAGGGGGCAAGCGUUGUCCGGAAUCAUUGGGCGUAAAGAGCGUGUAGGCGGCCCGGUAAGUCCGCUGUGAAAGCCCGAGGCUCAACCUCGGGAUGCCAGUGGAAACUGUCGGGCUUGAGUCCGGAAGAGGCGAGUGGAAUUCCUGGUGUAGCGGUGAAAUGCGCAGAUAUCGGGAGGAACACCGGUGGCGAAGGCGGCUCUCUGGACCUGUCCUGACGCUCAGGCGCGAAAGCUAGGGGAGCGAACAGGAUUAGAAACCCGGGUAGU
rnacentral:rRNA from 1 species